UGCUUUUGAACGAGUAACAGAAGUCAUGGCGACGCUGCGCUUCAUUUUUCUGUUUAUUGUCUUCAGUAAAAGCCAUGGACAAACUCAGAUCAUUUAUAGAGCAACAAAUAAAGUAGAGUUGAGAUGUGAAACAACCAAAUGGCAAAUAAGCACAAAGUCUAACAACCGGAUUGACCUGACCUGCUCACAGUGUGACCACAUCAGCAUUGAGCUCUCAGAGGAUGAUGAGAAACUGGACUUCUGCACAAAUAAACACUCACAGUCAAAGCCUGGCUGCACUCUAGCAGUAAAGAGUGGCUUUGUUGCCUGUGUUAAAUCUCUGGAUCCUGGACUCUUAUAUCCAUUUAAACCGUCUCCCAACAUUGUCCAUUCAUUCAUAGUUGCUGAUCCAAACCCAAACAUAACAUCCACACCUGAGGAAACAUCUUCACUGACAGUACCUGAAGGUGGAUCAGUGAGUUUAAACUGUAGUUUCACCUUCACACAAGAAUAUAAUGGGGUGUCUUUUGUUGUUUACUGGAUUAAGACUGUUGGAGAGAGCAGCACCUGUGUGUAUUCUUAUGAUUAUUCCCCGUAUGAGCCGCUCGGGCUCGGUCACCACUGCACCAUACAGGAAGAUCUGCUUAACAGACUCUCAAACCAAACCGAACGACAGAACAGUCACAACAUCAGGAUCAGUGAAGUGAUGGAGUCAGACAGCGGUCAGUACCUCUGUGCUGUACAAGUGCACCCAAGUAAUAAAAACACUGCUGAAGGAAACUGGAAGGUGAUAGAAAGAGUUACAGUCAGUGUCCACAAAGACAAGAGACCACAGCCAACCAGGACCACCGUGACUCAGAAAACCACUGAGGAGACAACAAAGAAAACUAGUGAGAAAGUUAGUGGUGAGUUUUAUCCGUAUGAAAUACGUGUAAAAGCACCUUUCUAUGAUGCACAUAUGCAUAUUGAUAU
ensembl:lncRNA